rnacentral:rRNA from 1 species
CGAACGAUGAAGCCGGGGCUUGCUCCUGGUGGAUUUAGUGGCGAACGGGUGAGUAACACGUGAGCAACCUGCCCUGGACUCUGGGAUAAGCGCUGGAAACGGCGUCUAAUACUGGAUACGAGACGUGGCCGCAUGGUCAACGUUUGGAAAGAUUUUUCGGUCUGGGAUGGGCUCGCGGCCUAUCAGCUUGUUGGUGAGGUAAUGGCUCACCAAGGCGUCGACGGGUAGCCGGCCUGAGAGGGUGACCGGCCACACUGGGACUGAGACACGGCCCAGACUCCUACGGGAGGCAGCAGUGGGGAAUAUUGCACAAUGGGCGGAAGCCUGAUGCAGCAACGCCGCGUGAGGGAUGACGGCCUUCGGGUUGUAAACCUCUUUUAGCAGGGAAGAAGCGAAAGUGACGGUACCUGCAGAAAAAGCGCCGGCUAACUACGUGCCAGCAGCCGCGGUAAUACGUAGGGCGCAAGCGUUAUCCGGAAUUAUUGGGCGUAAAGAGCUCGUAGGCGGUUUGUCGCGUCUGCUGUGAAAUCCCGAGGCUCAACCUCGGGCCUGCAGUGGGUACGGGCAGACUAGAGUGCGGUAGGGGAGAUUGGAAUUCCUGGUGUAGCGGUGGAAUGCGCAGAUAUCAGGAGGAACACCGAUGGCGAAGGCAGAUCUCUGGGCCGUAACUGACGCUGAGGAGCGAAAGGGUGGGGAGCAAACAGGCUUAGAUACCCUGGUAGUCCACCCCGUAAACGUUGGGAACUAGUUGUGGGGUCCUUUCCACGGAUUCCGUGACGCAGCUAACGCAUUAAGUUCCCCGCCUGGGGAGUACGGCCG